GGCCUAUCGUUCGUUGAUUACGAGUUCGUGUUAAAAAGAGUACAAGUAACGUACAAGAACGAAAUAUGUACAUGACUACGAGUGUCUGCCAUGUGAAACUAUGAAUGGGCCAUGCAUGUGUAUGAUUGGGCCAACUGCUAAACUACGUAGCACCUGCUAUCUAGGAAGGAUUUUUAUGUCGAAAUCAUGAUGGGGCCAUAUGUAGUAAAUCGUUCUGCUUCUCUUCCAAUUUGCACCAUCUGCACAUUUCUGUUUUAUCAUGUCUACUGCUUGACAUUUAAAGACAAUGAUUGUGAGCUGUAGUAGGGUCAAUGUUUGUACAAAAUAUUUUUUCCGUUUGUAACAAUUCGUGUUAGAUAUUUAGUGCCAUGUGUACGAAUCAAACUUUUUGAAAUUCUAGUUGCGUCUAUAUAUCAUGCAUUUUCUCGUCGUUCCAUAUUGAUUGUCAUUGUGAAAAAAAAUCCUAGGGCCAUGUGUACAAAACUGUCAUCGCCGUUUUUAAGAUAUUUCUGCCAAACCCAAUUUUUCUUGCGUUAUCUUCUGUACUUAUGUGACAGAUUAUUUACAGGAUUCCAGGGCCAUGUGAACAUGGCUUUGUUUUUGUAAAAAAAUCUUUCCAAUUUAUUAUGCGAAAUUAUUUAGGGCCAUGUGAAGUAGUGUAGAGAUCUUCUAUUCCUCGGUUCUGUAGAAAUUUCUGCAAUUUUCUUGAAAGCUGCUUGUGCAUUCAUCCCGUCUUGAGUGCGAAUAAUCGUGGAAUAUACUCUAGGGUCAUGUGUUAAAUAUCCAUAGCUAUUUUGAAGCUUAAAAAAAGCUCAAAUGUUGGAUCUAAGAUUUCUUGUAUACUCUGUAUAUUCCUCACCUGUUGUAACUUCAACGUGGUUAAUGGAGUGAAGUACUCUAUAGGGCCAUGUUUAAGAAUCUAGUUUAUUUGUCUAUGUGACAAAAUUUUCUUGGAGAUUAUUGUUUAAAAACGCUCUACACGUAUAGGGCCAUGUGCAGAUCUUACAGAUUCAUUGAAACAUGUAGCGGUCGUGAAACGUAAUCAGAAUGAUGGUUUCAACGAUUCCACGAUUAUGUUGUGACAUGAAAUAGUCUCUGAUCCUUGUCGAAACGUGUUUUAUGGACAUGAAGUAUUGUUUGUGAUUUAUUCUUCCAUAAUAUCCGAUUCGCAAAGAUUGAUAAUUGCCUUUUGUGUUAGGGCCAUUGUGUCAUUUUUGUUUAAUGUUAAAUCAGGUGUAAUGACACCUGUAGCGUCGGAUACACCUUGUAAUCGCUCUGUAAAGUGUAUAGCCUGAAUUUACAGGAUGAAACAUUGUGCAUUAAUUAAUUUAACAACCACAACACCAGUGGAGGAUUUGAUCGAUGGUUCAUUUGAAUACUGAUAAGUCCGAUCCAUAGAGCUAUAUUAAAUUUAAUAUAGCUCUAUGGUCCGAUCACAGCUGGUCGGCAAUGUGAAUGUUAAUUUCCCUUUGAACCGCGUUGCGCGUCGGUGGAUGCGCGUUGCUUUGCGCAAACUGGAAUAUCAUCUUCGCGACCAGUAGGCCAAAUUAUCUAUUUAGAAUAAACUAAGCUUUCAUUCUCAACGGUUGAAUCCAUUACAGUGGUCAGGUAAGGGCCACUAAUUGGAUUAUUUUCACUGUCUGUAUGUAAGAUACUUUGCAUCCAAUUAGGCUUAGAGAUCUAAGUAGCGUAGACCUAAACUAAGUUUCCCUUUUUUUUCCCUCUAUGGUUGCAUCUUUAUAUUGGUCAGGUAAGGACUACUAAUAUACGUUUCCUUCUCUUUAUACCACGGCACCGGUCACAAAUUUGAUCAGGAAUCCACUGUACAUUGUAGUUACACAAGCUAGCUCCGCUAGGAAGACUUCUUUUAUUUUCAGCAACUUGCAAUUAGAUUAGGAGGACCGGCAAGCCAGAGUGCUCAUGUCAGGAGCUGCUGACACGGAGGAACCGGAAACAGGGAGGAGGAACUCCGGAUGACUGAAGACCCUGCUUGCCGGGCAUCCCAUUACUGAUUUCCCAGAGAUGACGGUCUGCAAGAUGAGAUUUCAUUCUGGACGAAGAUACAAUCACUUCUGAAUCCCAAGGAACCGGAAGCAGGGAGAAGUACCGACGGAAGGACUGAUGACCUGCUUGCAGAGCAAGUCUUCACCAAUUCUUGAGAUUCCUCUUGUUUCGUGUAAGCAGCAGAGACGAUGACAAUAUACAUAACAGCUAGAGUGCAGUUGUUCACCAAGGCAGGAGCACGAAUUUUAGCAACAUUCGACUGAGUUUUACAAUAGCUAGCUCCUUAAAGUUCCCAUAAGUUUCUCUUAAAAAGUCGUCACAUUUUAUUAAUCCGAGGGAUGUAUAAAGACACCAUCCCAUUCAAAAUCCUUUCGAAAACCUGCUGGAUAAAUUUAAAAACUGUAUAGGC